GAAGCAGCUCUGGGGAGGCCCGAAGCCGCACCGGUGCCGGCAAACCCUUGACAGCACCAAGCUCAAUCCAUCCAUUGUGACGACUUAACAGAAUGUGGCUGCAGAGGCACAUGGCUGCAGAGGCUGAGAUUGGGCGGUCGCAGAGCAAUUUAAACUGAAGGAUGUGACCCCCACGUUACCAAGUUUCCUCCGCUCGCCAGACUCUCUCCUGCGGGUCCGACAGUACCUCAUGAGGCGUGGGUCUCCUCCCAGCUCGCCUUGCUCUUGUCAUCUUCAAAUUUCCUAAUCACAUCCAAUUUUCUUAUUUCUCUAACUUUCAACUUUUUUGGUGAAUUUUAGAAAAUAAAACUCUAAUGUAAAACAA